AGAGUCAAAGCCUUCGCUUCGCUUAUGGCAGCUGGUCCUGUUCUACCACGUCGGUUUUUCACUCCGUGCUCGUGCGAGGGAGAAGCUGCGUCGUGGAGGAUGAAGACCGUCGAAGCGCACUGGGCUUUCGAGGACAAGGAGGAUCGAGUGUUUCUCCUUCCACCUUCCCUCGUAGCCUCAAGUACACGAAUGCGCCGUCCCCGUCAUCUGAGCAUCGCUCUCUCGAAGCGCUCAUCUUCGUUCGCUCGCCGUCCGUCUGGCAGGACUCGGCUCGCUGUGAAUAAAACGAGCCUGCCGACCGUCCGAAGCGGCAUGCGGUUUCGAAGUGUGAGAGGGCGAUUGCCGCGGCGGCGCCAAUUUUUUUUGUUGUCCGUUCUAAA
rnacentral:rRNA from 1 species